CAGGCCUAACACAUGCAAGUCGGACGGUAGCACAGAGAGCUUGCUCUCGGGUGACGAGUGGCGGACGGGUGAGUAAUGUCUGGGAAACUGCCCGAUGGAGGGGGAUAACUACUGGAAACGGUAGCUAAUACCGCAUAACGUCUUCGGACCAAAGUGGGGGACCUUCGGGCCUCACACCAUCGGAUGUGCCCAGAUGGGAUUAGCUAGUAGGUGGGGUAAUGGCUCACCUAGGCGACGAUCCCUAGCUGGUCUGAGAGGAUGACCAGCCACACUGGAACUGAGACACGGUCCAGACUCCUACGGGAGGCAGCAGUGGGGAAUAUUGCACAAUGGGCGCAAGCCUGAUGCAGCCAUGCCGCGUGUAUGAAGAAGGCCUUCGGGUUGUAAAGUACUUUCAGCGGGGAGGAAGGCGGUGAAGUUAAUAACUUCACCGAUUGACGUUACCCGCAGAAGAAGCACCGGCUAACUCCGUGCCAGCAGCCGCGGUAAU
rnacentral:rRNA from 1 species